rnacentral:snoRNA from 1 species
AAGAUUCUCUUCAUAUGAUGACUUGAGUGCAUUUGGCUCGAGACGCUGGUGUGACGUCCUGUCUAAUCCUCAUGCGUUGAUGUGGAAAAAAACACGCUACCUUUAAACUUUUUCUGACU